rnacentral:rRNA from 1 species
CAGUCGCCGCGGUAAUACGUAGGGUGCAAGCGUUGUCCGGAAUUACUGGGCGUAAAGCGUACGUAGGCGGCUUUGUAAGUUAGAGGUGAAAGCCUGGUGCUCAACACCAGAACUGCCUUUAAGACUGCAUCGCUUGAACGUCGGAGAGGUGAGUGGAAUUCCGAGUGUAGAGGUGAAAUUCGUAGAUAUUCGGAAGAACACCAGUGGCGAAGGCGGCUCACUGGACUGUAACUGACGCUGAGGCUCGAAAGCGUGGGUAGCAAACAGGAUUAGAUACCCGCGUAGUCCCUGUCUCUUAUAC